CCGAAGUACAGGCCCCUUCGGGGGCUAAACUUCCACCCUUUGUUUAUCACACUUUGUUGCUUUGGCGAGACGCCCCUGGGCCACCGGCUUCGGCUGGUGAGCGCUCGCCGGAGAAAACCCAAACCCAAACCUUUUUUAGUGUUGUCUGAGAACUAUUUUAAUAAUUA
rnacentral:misc_RNA from 1 species